ACAUGAUUCCAUGCUUCCAAGAAAAGCAUCUAGAGAGAGAAGUAGUGCCCGUACCGCAAACCGACACAGGUAGAUGAGGAGAGAAUCCUAAGGCCGGCGGAAGAAUUGCAGUUAAGGAACUAGGCAAAUUGACCCCGUAAGUUCGCGAGAAGGGGUGCCUGCGAGAGCAGGCCGCAGAGAAUAGGCCCAAGCAACUGUUUAGCAAAAACACAGGUCUCUGCUAAAGCGUAAGCUGACGUAUAGGGGCUGACGCCUGCCCGGUGCUGGAAGGUUAAGGGGAACACUUAGCGCAAGCGAAGGUGUGAACUUAAGCCCCAGUAAACGGCGGCCGUAACGAUAACGGUCCUAAGGUAGCGAAAUUCCUUGUCAGGUAAGUUCUGACCCGCACGAACGGCGUAAUGACUUGGGCACUGUCUCAACUGCAAAUCCGGCGAAGUUGUAGUGCGAGUGAAGAUGCUCGCUACCCGCGAUUGGACGGAAAGACCCCGUAGAGCUUUACUGUAGCUUAGCAUUGAAUUCCGGUAUUGUCUGUACAGGAUAGGUGGGAGACUGGGAAGCUAGGGCGUCAGCCUUAGUGGAGUCAACCUUGGGAUACCACCCUGACAGUACUGGGGUUCUAACAGGACGCCAUGAAGCUGGUGACUGGACAUUGUUAGGUGGGCAGUUUGACUGGGGCGGUCGCCUCCUAAAAAGUAACGGAGGCGCCCAAAGGUUCCCUCAGAACGGUCGGAAAUCGUUCGUAGAGUGCAAAGGCAGAAGGGAGCCUGACUGCGAGACCCACAAGUCGAGCAGGGACGAAAGUCGGGCUUAGUGAUCCGGUGGUACCUCGUGGGAGGGCCAUCGCUCAACGGAUAAAAGCUACCUCGGGGAUAACAGGCUGAUCUCCCCCAAGGGUCCACAUCGACGGGGAGGUUUGGCACCUGAUGUCGGCUCGUCGCAUCCUGGGGCUGUAGUAGGUCCCAAGGGUUGGGCUGUUCGCCCAUUAAAGCGGCACGCGAGCUGGGUUCAGAACGUCGUGAGACAGUUCGGUCCCUAUCCGUCGCGGGCGUAGGAAAUUUGAGAGGAGCUGUCCUUAGUACGAGAGGACCGGGAUGGACUGACCUCUGGUGCACCAGUUGUUCUGCCAAGAGCAUGGCUGGGUAGCUAAGUCGGGAAGGGAUAAACGCUGAAAGCAUCUAAGCGUGAAGCCCCCCUCAAGAUGAGAUUUCCCAUAGCAUAAGCUAGUAAGACCCCUUGAAGAACACAAGGUUGAUAGGUCAGAGGUGGAAGUGCGGUAACGUAUGUAGCUGACUGAUACUAAUAGGUCGAGGGCUUGACCGA
rnacentral:rRNA from 1 species